UCCCUGGUGGUCUAGUGGUUAAGGCUCUGCCUUCUAAUGCAGGGGGUAUGGGUUUGAUCCCUAGUCAGGGAA
rnacentral:tRNA from 1 species